rnacentral:rRNA from 1 species
CAGCCGCCACGGUAAUACGAAGGGUGCAAGCGUUAAUCGGAAUUACUGGGCGUAAAGCGUGCGUAGGCGGUUUGGCAAGUUUGGUGUGAAAUCUUCGGGCUCAACUCGAAGUCUGCAUCGAAAACUGCCGGGCUUGAGUAUGGGAGAGGUGAGUGGAAUUUCCGGUGUAGCGGUGAAAUGCGUAGAUAUCGGAAGGAACACCUGUGGCGAAAGCGGCUCACUGGACCAUAACUGACGCUGAGGCGCGAAAGCUAGGGGAGCAAACAGGAUUAGAUACCCGCGUAGUCCCUGUCUCUUAUAC